rnacentral:rRNA from 1 species
UACGAAGGGUGCAAGCGUUACUCGGAAUUACUGGGCGUAAAGCGUGCGUAGGUGGUUCGUUAAGUCUGAUGUGAAAGCCCUGGGCUCAACCUGGGAAUGGCAUUGGAAACUGGCGACCUAGAGUGCGGUAGAGGGUAGUGGAAUUCCCGGUGUAGCAGUGAAAUGCGUAGAGAUCGGGAGGAACAUCCGUGGCGAGGGCGACUACCUGGACCAGCACUGACACUGAGGCACGAAAGCGUGGGGAGCAAACAGG